CGCAUAUUAAAUACACAAGUGAAGCAGUCUGUAGAUAUACAGUCAAGUUUUAAUGGAAGAAUCAGGGGAAGAGGCACAAAUUGGGCAGUCUCCAGCAUAUCCAAGAAACACAGCAUAGAAGGAGAAAGGAAGAGACCAAGAUCUAAGCCAUUAUGUAUUCCAACAUCUAAUAGGCCAACCAAGAAGGAACCAGCUCAAAGGUGAAGAAGGAAUGACCAAUGAGGUCUAUUGCCUUCACAUUACAAAUGGAGAAACGG
rnacentral:lncRNA from 10 species